rnacentral:rRNA from 1 species
GUCCACGCCCUAAACGAUGUCAACUGGUUGUUGGGUCUUCACUGACUCAGUAACGAAGCUAACGCGUGAAGUUGACCGCCUGGGGAGUACGGCAGCAAGGUUGAAACUCAAAAGGAAUUGACGGGGACCCGCACAAGCGGUGGAUGAUGUGGUUUAAUUAGAUGCAACGCGAAAAACCUUACCCACCUUUGACAUGUACGGAAGUUACCAGAGAUGGUUUCGUGCUCGAAAGAGAACCGUAACACAGGUGCUGCAUGGCUGUCGU